UACGUAGGGGGCAAGCGUUGUCCGGAAUCAUUGGGCGUAAAGAGCGUGUAGGCGGCCCGAUAAGUCCGCUGUGAAAGUCCAGGGCUCAACCCUGGAAUGCCGGUGGAUACUGUCGGGCUCGAAUCCGGAAGAGGUGAGUGGAAUUCCCGGUGUAGCGGUGAAAUGCGCAGAUAUCGGGAGGAACACCAAUGGCGAAGGCAGCUCGCUGGGACGGUACUGACGCUGAGACGCGAAAGCGUGGGGAGCAAACAGG
rnacentral:rRNA from 1 species